rnacentral:rRNA from 1 species
UGUGACUGCGUACCUUUUGUAUAAUGGGUCAGCGACUUAUAUUCUGUAGCAAGGUUAACCGUAUAGGGGAGCCGUAGGGAAACCGAGUCUUAACCGGGCGUUAAGUUGCAGGGUAUAGACCCGAAACCCGGUGAUCUAGCCAUGGGCAGGUUGAAGGUUGGGUAACACUAACUGGAGGACCGAACCGACUAAUGUUGAAAAAUUAGCGGAUGACCUGUGGCUGGGGGUGAAAGGCCAAUCAAACCGGGAGAUAGCUGGUUCUCCCCGAAAGCUAUUUAGGUAGCGCCUCGUGAAUUCAUCUCCGGGGGUAGAGCACUGUUUCGGCUAGGGGGCCAUCCCGGCUUACCAACCCGAUGCAAACUGCGAAUACCGGAGAAUGUUAUCACGGGAGACACACGGCGGGUGCUAACGUCCGUCGUGAAGAGGGAAACAACCCAGACCGCCAGCUAAGGUCCCAAAGUCAUGGUUAAGUGGGAAACGAUGUGGGAAGGCCCAGACAGCCAGGAUGUUGGCUUAGAAGCAGCCAUCAUUUAAAGAAAGCGUAAUAGCUCACUGGUCGAGUCGGCCUGCGCGGAAGAUGUAACGGGGCUAAACCAUGCACCGAAGCUGCGGCAGCGACGCUGAUGCGUUGUUGGGUAGGGGAGCGUUCUGUAAGCCUGCGAAGGUGGCCUGUGAGGGUUGCUGGAGGUAUCAGAAGUGCGAAUGCUGACAUAAGUAACGAUAAAGCGGGUGAAAAGCCCGCUCGCCGGAAGACCAAGGGUUCCUGUCCAACGUUAAUCGGGGCAGGGUGAGUCGACCCCUAAGGCGAGGCCGAAAGGCGUAGUCGAUGGGAAACGGGUUAAUAUUCCCGUACUUGGUGUUACUGCGAAGGGGGGACGGAGAAGGCUAUGUUGGCCGGGCGACGGUUGUCCCGGUUUAAGCGUGUAGGUGUGUGUUCCAGGUAAAUCCGGUUCACUUUAACACUGAGGCGUGACGACGAGGCACUACGGUGCUGAAGCAACAAAUGCCCUGCUUCCAGGAAAAGCCUCUAAGCAUCAGGUAACAUCAAAUCGUACCCCAAACCGACACAGGUGGUCAGGUAGAGAAUACCAAGGCGCUUGAGAGAACUCGGGUGAAGGAACUAGGCAAAAUGGUGCCGUAACUUCGGGAGAAGGCACGCUGACACGUAGGUGAAGUGAUUUACUCAUGGAGCUGAAGUCAGUCGAAGAUACCAGCUGGCUGCAACUGUUUAUUAAAAACACAGCACUGUGCAAACACGAAAGUGGACGUAUACGGUGUGACGCCUGCCCGGUGCCGGAAGGUUAAUUGAUGGGGUCAGCGCAAGCGAAGCUCCUGAUCGAAGCCCCGGUAAACGGCGGCCGUAACUAUAACGGUCCUAAGGUAGCGAAAUUCCUUGUCGGGUAAGUUCCGACCUGCACGAAUGGCGUAAUGAUGGCCAGGCUGUCUCCACCCGAGACUCAGUGAAAUUGAACUCGCUGUGAAGAUGCAGUGUACCCGCGGCAAGACGGAAAGACCCCGUGAACCUUUACUAUAGCUUGACACUGAACAUUGAGCCUUGAUGUGUAGGAUAGGUGGGAGGCUUUGAAGUGUGGACGCCAGUCUGCAUGGAGCCGACCUUGAAAUACCACCCUUUAAUGUUU